GGCUGAAAUUCGCCUUCAUGAAGCUGGAAUUGCUAGUAAUGGCAGGUCGGCAUACUGCCGUGAAUACGUUCCCGGGGCCUUGUACACACCGCCCGUCACACCAUGAGAGUUGGAAAUACCCGAAGCCUGUGAGCUAACUUAAAGAGGCAGCAGUCGAAGGUAGAGCCAAUGAUUGGGGUGAAGUCGUAACAAGGUAGC
rnacentral:rRNA from 1 species